GGCGAAGAUGAAGAAUGCUUUGAAAUUUCUGACACCUCUAGUAUGAGAAGAGCUUUCAACAAGCUCUUCCUUGAGCAGAGAUGGCAACUUUCUGAGCC